rnacentral:rRNA from 1 species
AUUGAACGCUGGCGGCAUGCCUUACACAUGCAAGUCGAACGGCAGCACGGGAGCAAUCCUGGUGGCGAGUGGCGAACGGGUGAGUAAUGUAUCGGAACGUGCCCAGUUGUGGGGGAUAACUGCUCGAAAGAGCAGCUAAUACCGCAUACGACCUGAGGGUGAAAGCGGGGGAUCGCAAGACCUCGCGCAAUUGGAGCGGCCGAUAUCAGAUUAGGUAGUUGGUGGGGUAAAGGCACACCAAGCCAACGAUCUGUAGCUGGUCUGAGAGGACGAACAGCCUCACGGGGACUGAGACACGGCCGAGACUCCUACGGGAGGCAGCAGUGGGGAAUUUUGGAAAAUGGACGCAAGUCUGAUCCAGCCAUGCCGCGUGCGGGAGGAAGGCCUUCGGGUUGUAAACCGCUUUUGUCAGGGAAGAAACGGCUUUCUCUAAGACGGAGGGCUAAUGACGGUACCUGAAGAAUAAGCACCGGCUAACUACGUGCCAGCAGCCGCCGUAACAC